AAACAUAAAAUUUUUAGGUCUAUCCCACCUUUAAAACUGAUCAAGCUUCUUCUCCUUGAUUGUUUUUCUUCUCAGAUUGGAGCACAACCUUGUUGCAGACCUUGCUGAAGCCCAUGUCAUCAUCAUCGCCACUAGAACCACCUUCUCAUCAUUGUCGGAGCCGCUGUGACAUAGUUUGGAGAGAGAUAUGUCUGAUUAUAGGACAAUGGAUUCUUUUCUAAAAUUCACUCACGAUGGAGAUAAAGUGGCCGAUGUAAGGAAAGCGUAGCAGAUGUUGUCAAGAUCUGACCUCUGUGCAUUCAAGCAAGCAUUUCUGGAGCUACAAAUAUUCAAAUAGAGCGUUCUUAACGGCUUUGGAAAGCUAACAUCAAGAGCUUUCCAGAAAUAUAUAAUAGUUCAUACAUGUCUUUAGAGAUGAAGGCCCAAAACUGGCGUUCAACGUUAGCUUUCUACCUCCUUCCUGGCAUUGGAUGCCCAAAAGGGAACAGCUGGCAUCCAACACCCAAAGGGGAGUCCAAAAGGGGCGUUCGACGCAUAAGAGCCAUGCUAGCACAUGGAGACACCCUUAGCUCAUCCCAAGUAGAUUUUUGCACUAAAAAACUAAGCCUAUCAUAUUUUUGUAAUCGUUAGUUAUUAGAUUAGUAUAUAUAGGAGAAGAUCACUCUUAUUUUAGGAUCUUCGACGACCAUAGAACAUUA